UGUGAUCCCAAAGAGUGCAAAGUUAAAGCCU
rnacentral:piRNA from 1 species